rnacentral:rRNA from 1 species
ACUCCUACGGGAGGCAGCAGUGGGGAAUAUUGCUCAAUGGGCGCAAGCCUGAAGCAGCGACGCCGCGUGAGGGAUGAAGGCCUUCGGGUUGUAAACCUCUUUCAGCUCCGAAGAAGCGAAAGUGACGGUAGGAGCAAAAGAAGCACCGGCUAACUACGUGCCAGCAGCCGCGGUAAUACGUAGGGUGCAAGCGUUGUCCGGAUUUAUUGGGCGUAAAGAGCUCGUAGGCGGUCUGUCGCGCCUGCUGUGAAAACUCGGGGCUUAACCCCGGGCCUGCAGUGGGUACGGGCAGACUAGAGUGCGGUAGGGGAGACUGGAAUUCCUGGUGUAGCGGUGAAAUGCGCAGAUAUCAGGAGGAACACCGGUGGCGAAGGCGGGUCUCUGGGCCGUAACUGACGCUGAGGAGCGAAAGCAUGGGUAGCGAACAGGAUUAGAUACCCUGGUAGUCCAUGCCGUAAACGUUGGGCGCUAGGUGUGGGGGCUCAUUCCACGAGUUCCGUGCCGCAGCAAACGCAUUAAGCGCCCCGCCUGGGGAGUACGGCCGCAAGGCUAAAACUCAAAGGAAUUGACGGGGCCCCGCACAAGCGGCGGAGCAUG